CUUCCGUAAUAACAAUACAGCGCUUCCGGUCGUGCAGAGCUCGGCGUGGAACGCAUGUGACUAUUUCUAUAUCUCACUUAUAAUGCCUGAUUUAAUUAUAGACUUUUUUUUGAAUAAGCAUUAUUUGUUCGCAGAUUAAAACUAUUUGUGAUAAAUAAUGGAAAUUGAGGACAGAGAUUUCCUCAAUACACCUCCAAAGAAAACUGUGCGUUUUGGAGGCACAGUUUCCAAUACAUUAGCUAAACUACAAAAGGGCGACACAAGUGAUUAUGAAUUGAUAAAACAUCAACUCUCAGAUCCUGAUAUUAAGG